rnacentral:rRNA from 1 species
UACGUAGGGUGCAAGCGUUGUCCGGAAUUAUUGGGCGUAAAGAGCUUGUAGGCGGUUUGUCGCGUCUGCCGUGAAAAUCCGGGGCUCAACCCCGGACUUGCAGUGGGUACGGGCAGACUGGAGUGUGGUAGGGGAGACUGGAAUUCCUGGUGUAGCGGUGGAAUGCGCAGAUAUCAGGAGGAACACCGAUGGCGAAGGCAGGUCUCUGGGCCACUACUGACGCUGAGAAGCGAAAGCAUGGGGAGCGAACAGG